rnacentral:snoRNA from 1 species
CUGGCCCAGAAUCAAGACCAGCAGUUUGGAGUCACUGGUUUCAAGCAGAAGCCUAAAGAAAUGUCUUCCUUUGGACUGCUGACCGUUUCAGAACUUUGGAGAUUUUAUGGUCAAUUCAUUAGAAAGAAACAUCC